GCGAUCUGAGCUCACUGCAACCUCCACCUUCCGUGUUCAAGCUAUUCUCGUGCCUCAGCCUCCCGAGUAGCUAGGAUUACAGGCAAUGAAGGGCUAUUGGCCUGUCAGCUGCUCCCAUCCAUCCCCUGCUUACUGCAUUGCCGAGUUCAUGCAGAUGUAUUAGCCCUGUGGUUCAGAUCCUCCUGUUCUACUCUUCCUGACUAUUUACUGUAUCAGUGUCAAAAGGUGAUGGAGGGAUCCUAGCAGAAGCCCUGCUAAAUUUUACUCCAUCAAGAUCAAUGGUUUACAUAGAUAAACUUAUUUACCAAAGUAAAAAGAACUCAUGGUACUUCUAAUGAAAAUGGGGAUUAUUACAAGUGUGGUUUAUAUGUUUUCUUUGUGAUUCCUGGUCAAGAAAGAUCCCCAAAACUGUAUCCCUAACCUUUAACUCAGGAUUGUACAGUAUGUUUAGGUCCCUCAAAAAGUGACCUAAGCUAAUGUUAUAAACUGCUAAUGAUUUAUAUAUCACUUAGUGUGUAGAGGGACUGAAAAUAUUUAUUUUGUUAUAAAUAAUUUUAUAGCACGUUUACUCUAGUGCUAGCUAAUUUGUAAUAAAGCCAAGUCUCAGUUUUCUGCAUUAAAUGGAAGGGAGACAUGAAAUUGAUAAUCUCAAACUUAAUUCAUAUUUGGCUUUGGAAUGUAGUGUAUGGUUUUUGGUAGGGAAGUCAAUAUUUUCGAUUAUGUUUUGCUUAGAUCAGUGUUGAACUAAGUUGGCAUAGCACACACUAACAGUUGUAGGAGAUCCAUGAGCAUGCUGGAUAUUGAGGGGAUCCAAUCUGUGAUCUAUUUUUUAUUAUAGAUAACUGUUACACAUAAUUUCAGAUCGUUUGGCUGUAAAAUUUGUCUGUUUUCCACUUGGAGUUAUUUUAAAAUUCAAAGUAAAUCACUCUAUUCUUAUUUUGAAAACUCAGAGCCAUUUUAUAUAGAAACAAAACCCAUAAGAGCACACAGUAACAAAGCAAACAGAUACAAAAAUGACUUUUUAGUUAUGACAAAUAUUUUAGUUGGUUACUACUUAGGUCCUUUUGGCAAAUGAAAAUUUGUGAUUAGAGUAUAAAUGGCAAAACUAUCUUUUCCUGGCCUUUGAAUCCACUAGUACUUAAUGGAUAUAGCUGAAGCAGAGACUAAGUAUAACAUACAGGUUCUUCAGUAAAAUAUAUCAUUUUCAUGUUAUAGUUAUGCCUGUGUGGCCUCUGUCAGAACUAUUAUCAGUAAAAGAGGUUAAGCCUAUAUAUGAAUGAUGGACCAAAACCUUGAGGUUGUACAUUAACUGAAAUAGUAUUUUAUAAAAUCUUAUGGUGCUGUGGAAAAUAUUUAUUAUUUCACCUUUUCUGACACUUCACCAUGGAGACUAUUCAGGUAAUACAAUUUUAAGUCAUUGCAGUUAAUACUCUGGUUAAUUGGUACUGUUAAUCACCCAGGUCAGGAAUUCUGAUUUUAGGUUAUCUCAUUAAUCAUGGCUGAUAAAGAAGCUAAGGGGAUUCUCCAGAUCUAAUAGAUUUCAUUAGUCAUUUGUGUCGAGUAUUCCUCCCUAAAAACAAAAGCAGUAUUUUCUUUCUCAAUUAAUUUUUAAGUUAUUCAUUAAAAAAUAUAUAACAUCUUAAUUUUAUUCUUUUAAAAACAUACAGUGAAGCCUUGCUACAAGAGUCAUAAGUGACUGGAAUUUCUUGCAUAAUAGGUUCCUCCUUUUGAAUAGAUCAGAUUCAUCCCCAGGCUCUCAGCAGUGUCAUGAUGAAAUGAGUGUGCUGACUUCAGGGGUGUGGUGGACACUGGUAGCUAGCCUUAUCAGCUCCCUCCUUAUUCCUACCUCUGUCAGCAGCAUGCCUCGCCCCUUACCUAAUUCUGCUGUGACUCUGACAGAGAGGAAGUGCCUUCUCACUUUGCAAAGGAAUGCAGCAUGUCACAAAGGAGGUGCUCCAAUUUUUUGUGUCCUUACUUCCCUAUGUUUGCCUAGUUACUGAGGCUAGGUCGAGUGUGAAGCAAUAGGUGUAAGAUGCUGAGAGCACAUGGACAGCUACCAGGGAGAUCUGUUGCUUGGUUACAGGGUGUAUUCAUGAGUGGUAGCUGCAGUUGUCGUGAGAGACAUGCUUGGCAUACAGAGCUGUCUAAUGGGUGGGAGACAUGUAAUGGUAGAUUUAGGGCUGGGAGCAUGAUUUUGGGUCUGCCCAAAGGAACAUGGUGUCACUUUUGUUCUUUCUGACCCACUAAAUAAAAAGUAGUGUAACAGGGUUUCACUGGAAUGUUUAUUAGAAAGUUUACACUUUUUAUAUUUUUAUGAUUUUAAAAACAAACAAUAAUAGAAAAACAGAUUUUAAGGAACUUCAGAGCAGUAUAUAUUCUGUCUAAACUCACUGAAUAUUUUAAGUUGUAAAUCAGGUGUCCACCAACCUUUAUUUUUGCAUUGCAGGAGAUGUGACUGUAAAGUAGGGAGUUUUUUUUUUUGAGACAGAGUUUCACCCUUGUUGCCCAGGCUAGAGUGUAAUGGUGCAAUCUCCGCUCACUGCAACCUCUGCCUCCCAGGUUCAAGCGAUUCUCCUGCCUCAGCCUCCCUAGUAGCUGGGAUUACAGGCAUGCACCACCACACCCGGCUAAUUUUUUUAUAUUUUUAGUAGAGACAAGGUUUCUCCAUGUUGGUCAGGCUGGUCUCGAACUCCCGACCUCAGGUGAUCUGCCCGCCUCAGCCUCCCAAAGUGCUGGGAUUACAGGCGUGAGCCACUGCGCCCGGCCAAAUUAUUUUUGUGGGUAGAUUCAUUCUCUUUACCUAAUAGUCAUAAUUUAGUCAGUGAAGGGACAACAUCUGGGGUAAGAGCUAUGGAGGAGGUGCUCAGCUUUGUGAGUUUUGUGCCAGGCAUCUUUGCUGAAAAUGGAGAUGGCAGCAAGUGUGAAUCUGGGGGAAUAUAAGGGAAGACAGAAAAGCCUUAAGAGUAGACGGAGGAAGAAGGGUACCAGAAUAGUCCCUGUGGAGGCAGGCAGAUCAGAGCUCAGGGUUUGAAAGUGGGCCUGAGUAAGGGUCCUGCUAGAGAAACUGCAGAUGGAAGCUGAGCAGUUACCAACUGCUAAUGUGCCAAGUAUACCAAGCACAGCAUGUGUCCUGUAGAGGAGCAUUAUUUUAAACAAUGUUCUACUAUCAUCUACCAAAAUAAUUGUGGUAAAAGUGUAG
rnacentral:lncRNA from 10 species